GAGAGCCUACGGGGGGCAGCAGUGGGGAAUAUUGGGCAAUGGGCGCAAGCCUGACCCAGCAACGCCGCGUGAAGGAAGAAGGCUUUCGGGUUGUAAACUUCUUUUGACAGGGAAGAGCAGAAGACGGUACCUGUCGAAUAAGCCACGGCUAACUACGUGCCAGCAGCCGCGGUAAUACGUAGGUGGCAAGCGUUGUCCGGAUUUAUUGGGUUUAAAGGGUGCGCAGGCGGUCUGUUAAGUCAGCGGUCAAAGCCCGGGGCUCAACCCCGGCCCGCCGUUGAAACUGGCAGUCUCGAGUUGGAGAG
rnacentral:rRNA from 1 species